rnacentral:tRNA from 1 species
GCUCAAUUUGUAAAGCGUCUGCCUGGAAUGCAGGAGACCCGGGUUCAAUCCCUGG